rnacentral:rRNA from 1 species
AGUGAACGCUGGCGGUAGGCCUAACACAUGCAAGUCGAACGGCAGCACAGAGGAGCUUGCUCCUUGGGUGGCGAGUGGCGGACGGGUGAGGAAUACAUCGGAAUCUACUCUGUCGUGGGGGAUAACGUAGGGAAACUUACGCUAAUACCGCAUAGGACCUACGGGCGAAAGCAGGGGAUCUUCGUACCUUGCGCGAUUGAAUGAGCCGAUGUCGGAUUAGCGAGUUGGCGGGGGAAAGGCCCACCAAGGCGACGAUCCGUAGCUGGUCUGAGAGGAUGAUCAGCCACACUGGAACUGAGACACGGUCCAGAAUCCUACGGGAGGCAGCAGUGGGGAAGAUUGGACAAUGGGCGCAAGCCUGAUCCAGCCAUACCGCGUGGGUGAAGAAGGCCUUCGGGUUGUAAAGCGCUUUUGUUGGGAAAGAAAUCCAUCCGGUUAAUACCCGGGUGGGAUGACGGUACCCAAAGAAUAAGCACCGGCUAACUGCGUGCCAGCCGCCGCAGUAA